CUAGUAAAUAGAGUAUGUUUUUGUUGGCAGUGAGUAAAUCUUUGAUUCAGAGUCAGCGUAUAGGCCGACAAAAAAUGCUUUUCCGUUCAGAAAUCUGAAUCCUAUCUGUGGGGCCUCCCCUUCAUGUCUACGUGAGGACUGAAGAACGAGUGAAUCUUGUUUUAGGGUUUAUGCCCAUUGCCGAUCAUGUGGUCAGUUUCCCCGCUUUCGAUUCCGACCAAGAUUUACUUAUUAUUCCUCCUCGUCCAUUAGUUCAGUUCCUUAGUUCAAUCAGUCCCUUCCUCAAAACCUAUUUCCGCAAAUGCCACUGCUCUUAUUCCACAAUAUGGGAUUGCUGG
rnacentral:lncRNA from 1 species